UGGCUCUUUUCUUAAAAUCUGUAAGAAAAUUAGCAUAUGCAUGUGUAUAUACACAUUAAAAAAUUUAUUUUAAAUAUUCAGCAAUAAUUGUCAACAUUGUAUUUUUAACAUACACAAAGUUUCUAAUUAAUUAAUUAUAAGUAAUUAUUUACAAUUAAGUCCUAAGAGAGUAAUUAACUAUCUUUAAAAACGAAAAUCUAAGUUAAAUAAUUCAAUAACGAAUUAUUAUUUUUUUGUAACUAGUUAAUAUAAUAUAUAAAAGCUAUAUGUUGUGCUGGUUAUACUGGUUUAUUGAGAUUUAGCUUCGGUCUUAUUGUAGCACAGUAAUUUGAGAUAUAAGAAUAACGAUAAAACGUCAUUAUGCAAACUCAGCGUGAUUGCAAAAUUCAUACAAAAUACAAGUACAGCGAUUGCACAACUUCAUGCACGCGUCGAAUUGUCAAUAAAGUAUGCACCAAUUUGUCCCCAUAACUACCCAGGGUAAUCGUAAGAAUAAGUAGUCGGUUGCUAUUUGGUUUUAAUAAAGAAAGGUUGUAAAAACCUUGAAUCAAGCAGCUUCCGGUCCGCGGAGUGAAAGUGAAGUCACGGUCAAUUUUUAUUUAUUAUUCUGUUAAACUCCAUUUUUGCCAUCGGUGACCUUCAGUUUCGUAGGCAAAGCCGCAGGACAACCCAGGAAAAGGUACGCAUCGCAAGAUCUUCAGUAGUUGAAACUAGGAUACAAACGGGAUGAAAUCCGAACCUCGUGGGAAGGAGGCACAUCAACUUGUAAGAACAUUAUAAUAAUAAUUACAUUGUUAACUUUGCAAAAGAAUUUUAAACUUUGAGCUCCAUCAUUUGUUUGUAAUCCUAUAUUAUUUAACCCUUAAUCUAAUUGAAAAACUCGUGUUUACUUUAUGGCAAAUCUGAACAAUUUAAUCAAGCGAUCCAUACUUAGUGAACAAGCAUAAGCAAGAAGAAGUGCGGUCGAUUUGCUAUUGCAGCCGCUAUUAGCGAAAUAAUAGCGGAACAGUUGACAGCAUUAUUAAGGCGUCAAAUUUCACCGGAAGAAUUCGCCAAUGUAGCCGAUCAAGUGAUCGCCCCAAAACAUGCCAGGAAUUUAUAGUACCAGUCGUAAUAAAGACAAUACGUGAAUUUUUUGGUAACCCAUCAGAUGUUAGCUCAUUGAAACAGUGAGUAGGUCGUAUCAAGGAAGCGUAUAGCGGUUAUCAAUGUACAUUAAAGUACAAUAGUAUGUCACUUUGCAUAAUAUACGGAAUAUAAUAUGACAUGCCGAUAUGGCAUUGGAAUCCUAUAAUACCACUCAUAUUUGGUCAGCUAUUUCCUAGUGUUUGACACUUCAUUCCGCGGACAAAUGUGUCAUUAACCCGCUUGAGUACCAAAUGACCAUGUUAGUCCAAACUUUGAGUCAAUUAGUAAAAGAAUUCCAUAAGACAGUUUAUAAACAUUUAUCACUUAUUUAAAAAAAAAUUUAUUUUGAACAAAAUUGAUUGUAUGAAACUACGCACAGAAGCGGAACAAUUAAUGACAAAAAAUAAGAGAAAGCUCUUGAUACUUUUGUGCGAGAAUUACGAGGUAAUAUAUUCGCCUAUAGGUAUCAAAGAACCAGCAGAUUUACCUUCAGCACUGCAUUUGGGUUUAAAAUUAUAAUAUCAAACUUUUCAUGCUAACCACGCUACAAACAUAGGCCAAACAGGUAACUUGAGAAAUCAAAAUUCCAAACCAAUACUUGCGGCACACAACAUGCAAUUAAUAAAAAUACAAUCACCCCUCAAGAAUUUACCACUACCAACAAUACGGAGAACAACCACCAAUCACACAACCAGAACAGAACUUUCACAAUUUCAGUUAGCUACUGCUGCACCUCGACAACGAUUCCUAAAUAGGCAGUUCCAGCCUAUCGCACCACCUAGGCCUACGGCACAAAAAGCCACUGCCCCGUCCAGAACAAAUGGACCUAGACCCUAGUGUACAAACAAAAACGGGAAACUAUAUCAACCGAUCUCGCUUCAAAGUUGGAAAAAAAAUCUCUGAGUCCAAUCUCAGAUGGACAUAAACGACAAAGAAAUUUCAACAUACAAACUUCCAAUAAUGAAAACAAAAUACAAUCCGCUGAAACAAAUGCCACAAUGACAGAAUAUGAACAAGCAAUCACAUACUAUGAAAAAUAUUUAUAAUAAUCUCGAAAGAAUCUAGACAAAUAUAUAUAACACAUAGACGAAAUCGAUUCCGGCAACAAUACUUAUGAAUACACAAUAAUGCCUCUCUAAAUUUUAUACAGGAAUAUGAUUAUGAAGUAGUUUAUGAACCGGCGAAAUAUAAUGUAGUAGCCAGAAUGCCAACAGCACAGCACUGAAAAUUCUAAUCACAAUUUGAUAUGAAGGCCCAAUAAACGUAUGUAAGAACCAAAUAAUAUUUUACCAGAUAACCUAAUCCGACUACAAAAUUUAACCACUUACCAUAGACAUGAAAUAUACCGACAAGUAUUAGUAUAGUACCGUAAGGCGUUGCGAAGUGCAAUCAGUACUCUGUAACACCUUCGCAUUGUAAACAGUGUUGUACUGGUAUUAACGGCCGAAAGGAAGAAAAAUCAAAUCAAAAUCAACAAUAAAGAAGACGAAUAAACAGACGUACAUUAUUCAAAUUGUGUAGGGGUUUAAAUUAGUUGCGAAAGUUUUAAAUAUAGAAAGUGUAUAUGGAUUACAAAUAAUGUGGGUUAUAGUAAAUGAAAAUAUAGUUACACAUUGGAUAUUAAAAUCAAUAACUAUCAGAUUUCAAUGUCAUUGAAAUAAAUCUGCAUUAUUACAACAUAUAAAAAAUAUAAUUAAAAUUAAAUAUGUUAUUGGUCGCAUCGUUAAAUUUCUGACAUUUGCCGUUUUAGAUAUAAUUUUGCAAAUUUUAAUUUCGUUUUUUUAAAAUCUAUCCUUUAUUUGUGUUCUAAUUUUUCAAUAGCUAAGUUAUAUUUCCUUUUGCACAAUUAGCAUGCGCUAACAGCAAUUUCCAAUGCCCUUAUCUCCUUACCUAGUAGCAUCUGGUACUGACAAAAAUAAACAAAUUUUUUAAAUUGGCUCAAGGCCGAAUCAUUGAAUCCAAAGCAACAGAAGAUAUGGAAACCCUUUGCGAGAUAUCAUAUUUUAUUUCGGAGUCCCGAAGCAUAUUGUUAUGCGCAACGAAAAAUCUUUUAGUUCUCAAUUCAUCAAAAUUCAUGUUAGAGCAACUAUGUAUAGAAACUUACACUGCAACACCAUACAAAAGCACAGUUAACCACUCAUCGAAAUUUCGAUACGAAUAAAAUUACUAAUUUCAUUCGUUCACAAAGAAGCGACCUUUAGAAGUCUUUUAUGGCAGGUAUGUAACAUCGGACCGAGAAAAAACUAAACUAUUAUACACAACAAAACUACACUUUUAUACAUUAUAAAAUACCGAAUAUAGAAGAUACAGAAAACCAGUUUAUACUUGUAAAACCCAUAGUCAAAAAUAAAACGAUUGUACACUUAAACUCAAAUAAAAUGGUGAUUUGUACACAAAAACCUCGCAUAUGAAAUUCCAGAAAAUUGUAAAACAUUAGUAAAUAUAAAAGUAUGAGAUAAGAAUAAAAUUGUUAACAUAAGCAAUACAGACUGCAUUCCUAAGCUAGUUAAGGGAGAAACUGCGCUGCGUUGUUAAAGCAAUGCUGACUACGUAACAAAGGGGAAGGGAAUCGAAGAUGCGAUCAUUUUACUAAAAAACUACAAAGGCAAGGAUGAACAGCUUCCUCCUAAUAACAUUCUUCGGCAUUGCUUUUACUCUUAUUUUGGGGCUGCACACAUACAGUCAUAAGCAGAAGAGUAUAACAUUGCAACUAGGGCCUACAUCGGGCAGGGAAACAAAAGUCACCACAGUCGUCGCACCAACAAAAUACGAACGAUCACCAGCGGAAGUGCAAGGCCCACUACCUCAGUUCAACAACACUCCCUACUUCUAUCUAAAAACUGCUCUCAAGCAUAAAUUAGAGGGCGAAGAGUUUACAACAAUUAUAUUGACAAAUUUGCUUGUAACAAUUACGAUAAUAUUGUCAAUAUACAAACUCAGCGUGUCUGCCAAAUUCAUAAAAAAUGCAAUUACAGCGAUUGCACAAUUUCCUGCACGCGCCAAAUUGCCAAUACGGUAUGCACCAAUUUGUCUGCAUAACUACUCAGCUAUAUAGGAUAGUCGUAAGAAUAAGUUGUCAGUUGGUAUGAAGUUUUAAUAAAGAAAGGUUGCAAAGAAAUUUAAAAGACGCUACGUUGUCGUUUUUAGUUUAGUUGCUUAUCGAAAAUUAUUGUGUGGUUAUAAAUCCAUCAUUUCUUACAUGGAAUAGUAAUAGUCGUUAAGCAAAAAUUCCAUCAACAGGCUGUUAUUUCGGCGAACUAGCUCUGUUUGGAUCGGAUUCCAUCCCAGAAGAAUCAAGCUACAAAAAUGAAUCAAGCCAAUUUUUUGAUACUCUGUUCUGAUGCGAAUCGUAUUUCAGUGAGGGCGUUCUGCAUUGGCCGGAAUAAAUGGUAGUCAGAAUGGGAAAGGUCUGGGCUAUAAGGUGGGAGAGUCAAAACUUCCCAGCCGCCAGUUUGGAAUGGCUGCUAGAUUCCUCAUCUUCAAACUUUUUUGGCUGUCCAAAAAGUUCUUCGUCUUCAAAGCCAAAAUCACCACUAUUCAAUCGCAUGGUCAGUAGCUAUUCAAUGGAAUAAUAAUCGAGUUACGCCAUCUCUUGGAAAACCGGAUAAAUACAGUUAUAGACCCAAUACAUAAAUUAUUUUUGUUUAACUUACUAAAUAGUAUAAAAUGUAUAUUAUACAAAAGUCCACGGCUCAACGUCACACAUUCUCCAAGCAGUGGUAUAUUAAAUUUUACAGGUAGAAGGUUUUUGUUCAUAAGAGCUACCAUAUAGUUUUUAAAUCUGCAAUAGAAAAAAUAAUACGAUAUUAAUUGAUAUAUAUUGAUUUAGACGAGUUUGCAGGUUUACUUAUUCUUUACAAAUGCCAUUAUAAAAAUGUUAGCAAUUCUACCAAACAUACUCAGGGGUGUUGUGAAAUCUGAUAGUUGUUGGAACCAGAAUUGAAACCGAUAAAAAAAAUGUAGAAGGUGUCAUGAAUUCAGAUAUUAUUGGUUUGACGUUCGAAACAGAAAUUGUAUCGGUUUUGGGUGUCACGGAAACCAAUUUUAUCGGUUUUGUUAUCAGAAACAAAGCAAGAAAUUUUCGCUGACAGCAUUCAAAUGUAAGUUUAGAAAAUAUCUUAUAUUAUUGUUACGAUUUAAUUUAUCGUUAUUUCUAUAGGGGGAAACAUAAGGAUAAAACAAAAAAUGUCACAAUUAUCGAGUUUAUGGAAAAAUGCAAGAUAUUUUAGGAGAAUUUACAAAACGUAACAAACAUAAUUUAACACCCAAAUGCGUCUUUUUUCAGUCGAUAAUGUGAUAAUGCAAGUAAAUGCAGGCCAAAUUUCACAUGUGACUCCCAUGGUGCAUCAAGUGGAUUACUGUGAUCUUUUAAUAUAUUCCUUUUAUUUUUUUCGUUGCUUUUUUACUUCAAAUAAAAUAAAAGCUAAAAUGGCGGAACUCAUUGUAAACUUUAGUAGACUUCAUUCACCAUUUUAAAUUUAUAAAACGCUUCCUAAUUUAUUCAUUUGCAAAUUUUGUCACAUUAGUAAACAGCUGAUUCGAAUAUUGGUUUUGCAUAUGUUCGAAAAGACGCAAAUCCAAUCAGAUUCUGUGACACCAUUUAAAAACAGAAUUGGUUUGCAAUUCUGACAGCUAAGCAAAUCCGUCUUAAUUUCACCUUGCUCCGUCUUGAACACCCCUGACUAUCUUUCAUAUAACCUUUUAUUUGUUCAGCUUUUGUAAAAAUGUCGACAUUUGGCCAUUAUAACUGAUAAAUAAAUAAAUUAUUUGAGAAUUUUAAUUUACGUUAAUAUUUUUCCUUUCACAAAAAGUAAACAUUUUAAUUUUAUUUCAUCGGAGAAAAAUCUAAAUUUUAAAUUCAUUAUGAUUAUUAGCCGAUUUUUUAUAAAAAUGUGUCCUCAGUUUCAAAUCAUUUUCCCCAUUUAUUCGAUAAUCAAGAAAAAAUGUAAAUCCAAUGUAAAAGAAAUUAUAUAUGUAUAUCAAUUGUUUCCGGAUUUUCAGUAAAUUUAUUGUUGUACUAUACGUAGAUACAUUUUUGUCACACAGUAUUAAAGAAUAAACUAAAGUGUAAAUAUUUUAUCUUAACCAUUUUAAUAACAUUUUUUGGGUUGAAAUUUAAUAAGGCUGCAGUUCGGAAAAAAUGUGUAGUUUUUCAAACUACUUCAGCUUAAGAGACCAGAUAUAAAAUUGCAAAAUGUUGAACAUUUUAUUUUAUCGCAAUAUGUAAUUUAACUUAUAAACUAUGUGACCUUAGCUUCUUUUAAAUUUAUUAAUUAAUUUUUUUUUUAUUUCCUAAAAAUUUAUAUAAAAGUCAACCUAACUAACAAUAAGUACGGAAGGGCUAAAUUCGGAUGAAACCGAAAAUUUUAUACUGUCGCAAUUUUCAAUUUAAGAAACCUGACAGAUUGACGAAUAUAUAAGUUAUAAAGUCAAGCGGAUCAAGACACUGUUAUUAAAGAGAUGUUUUUUCUAAAUUUUGUUAAGAUUGCUUACAUAUUGACCAAUAGAUGCGGUAUACAGUCAAUCGAAAGUUCGAAAAUAUUAAUGCUUGGUAUAUGGGGCCUAAAUGACCCAAUUUUACCCAUUUUUGGCAAAAAUAUUCUCCUCAAAUUUCAUAACUAGAUUACAGAGAUUGAACGACAUGUUCGGUAAAAAAUCAGCCAUAUGAACUGAACUGAGGUCCACAUAUUUGGUGUGUGAGUCCUUGAAAAAUUAUAGUCCGAUUUCGACAAUUUUUGGGGGUUUGGGCCUUUGAUGGCACUGUUUGGGCCAAGUUUUAUUCUGAUAAAUUAAUUGAUGUUUGACUUGUAUACUUCUUCUGUAUAUCUUCUUCAGUGUAUUUUAAGAAUAUUUGGGUAACCUUAUGCAAUAAAUUUGCUUGGUUGGUCAAGUAGUUCCUGAGAUAUAAGAAUUCACCUGAACGAGGUCAUUGUCCAAUUUUUAUACCUGCUCCUAUAGAGCCCUUUCAUACCAUCUUGAUUGUACAAUUUUAUGCUUGUGGCGCAUUUAUUAAGUGAGUUACCACACGUUUAGUAGUUUUUAAUAUAACAGGUUGUUGUUGUAGCGGCAGAAAUCUGCCGAGUGGACAGUCCUUGGCCGGAUAAAAUCAGGGUCCGUUCCGGUUACGAAGACCCGACUAUCGUGGAAACGGCUCACAGGUGUACUACGCUAUUGGGAUCCCUUGUACGAAAUUAAAGAUUUGUAUUUGAAUUUAGUGCUAAGUUAUGGCACUGUAUAUGUUUUCGCUUAACGGCACUUUGUGGACGUUUGCAAUACUAACCCUCCUGUGUACCAAUGUACCAAGUUUCAUUAUAAUAUUUUAAUUUUUACUCAUGUUAUCGCUUGCACAGACGGACAGACAGACAGUCACUCGGAUAUCAACUCAUCUAAUCAUCCUGAUAAUUUAUAUGUGGUAUACAUAACAAUAUAUCUAUAUGGAUAAAUUUAUGCAACAUACGAGGGCUGCUAUAUAGCUGGCGGGCCUAGGCAACACUAAGUGUUGCCAGGUGCAAUCUGACAUUUCCAUUGGAAAGUUUGACAUUUUUUAGCAACAUUUUCGUGCGAUCAUUUUUCACAACUUUCGACGUGGAUUAUCACGACAAGAGUGCAUCGAUGAACUAAAAUCUUUGUAUGGCUAUGAAGCACCAUCCUUGACGUAAGU